AGGUAUUCAGAAACGUGAAGCCAGCAAUUGUUUCGCAAUUCGGCAUUUUGAAAACAAAUUUGCCGUGGAAACUUUAAUUUGUUCUUGAACAGUCAAGAAAAACAUUAUUGAGGAAAAUUAAUAUCACAGCAUAACCCCACCCUUUACAUUUUGUGCAGUGAUUAUUUUUUAAAGUCUUCUUUCAUGCUCUAAAAUUACAUGAAUUUUCAGGGAGCUGUGAACAUUUAGGAGCACAUUAUUCAUUCAGCAUCUUUUAUAUGCCCAACAUAUGAUAUUGUGUUGAAGAUAUAUCUGCAAAGAAGAAAAAAAGCCACUGCCGUCGUGGAGACUCACAAUCUAGGAAAAGAGAGGGACAGCAAACAACUCAUUACAAUACAUUGGGAUCAGUAGUGUGAGGGAGAAAAACAGGUCUAGGUUCUUUGGAAAACAUUUAGGAGAGUCAAUGAGACUUUCAGAAUGUGAAGUGCAUGGGAUUAGGUCAUGGAAGAAGACCAUGUAUGUCAUCUUGAGGACUUCAUUCUGUAGACCAUGGGCCACUAUUGAAGUUUUGCAUUUUGGAAGGAGCUUAUUAGUUUGUUUUCCUGUUGAUUAUAGUAGUAAUGCAGUAUCAGGGUAGCUGAACUGCAAUAAUAAUCCCAACAUCUCACUGGCUUCAUGCAGUAGGAAUAUGCUUUCAUCACAGUCCAGUAUGGCAGGCAACCUCCAGACUCCCAGGGACCCAAACUUACACUUUACUAAAUGUAAUUCUUUCAUUUGAAUUUUUAAAGGUUUUUGUAUAAUCAUCUUAGUAAAACAUUUGAUAAUUCUUCA
rnacentral:lncRNA from 10 species